GUUGCAUUCUCAUGGGCAAUCCUACUCAGCCCGCCGCGUGGGUAAGAAGGCCUUCGGGUUGUAAGCCCUUUAGUUGGGAAGAACCACAGUCUGGUCAAACCCUGGUCUGCUGACCUGACCCACCGAAUGAGCCCCCGGCAACUUCCUGGCCGCCGCCCCGGGUAAUAAAA
rnacentral:rRNA from 1 species